rnacentral:rRNA from 1 species
UCGGGAAUUUUGGGCAAUGGGCGAAAGCCUGACCCAGCAACGCCGCGUGAAGGAUGAAGUAUUUCGGUAUGUAAACUUCGAAAGAAUAGGAAGAAUAAAUGACGGUACUAUUUGUAAGGUCCGGCUAACUACGUGCCAGCAGCCGCGGUAAUACGUAGGGACCAAGCGUUGUUCGGAUUUACUGGGCGUAAAGGGCGCGUAGGCGGCAUGACAAGUCACUUGUGAAAUCUCUGGGCUUAACCCAGAACGGCCAAGUGAUACUGUCGCGCUAGAGUGCAGAAGGGGCAAUCGGAAUUCUUGGUGUAGCGGUGAAAUGCGUAGAUAUCAAGAGGAACACCUGAGGUGAAGACGGGUUGCUGGGCUGACACUGACGCUGAGGCGCGAAAGCCAGGGGAGCAAACGGGAUUAGAUACCCCAGUAGUCCCUGAGCGGGCUGGCAAGGCGCAU